rnacentral:lncRNA from 1 species
UAAAUAGUGCCAUGGUAAAUAUAUUUAUAUAUAAACCCUGUGCGCACCUUUGCAUCAACAUAACAAGUUUAAAAAAUAUAACUCAUUCACUCAUUUAUUUUCUCAACACAUUUGUUGAAUAGCUACUCUGCAGCAGGUAUUUUAUUUUUAUUUUUUAAAGAUUUUAUUUAUUUGACAGACAAAGAUCACAAGUAGGCAGAGAAGCAGGCAGAGAGAGUGAGUGAAGCAGGCUUCCCGCUGAGCAGAGAGCUCAAUGCGGGACUCGAUCCUAAGACUCUGGGAUUAUGACCUGAGCCAAACACAGAGGCUUAACCCACUGAGCCACCCAGGCGCCCCUGCAGCAGUUGGGUCGUAUUCCCAGGAGACGUUACCUCUGUGUCAUCUCAACCUCUUCCUUGUAGUGCUGCUGUUUGUCUGGUGUGUGUGGGAAGGACAGAAACAGGGACUGGAGCAGGGUCAGGCCUAAAAAGGAGGUGAGUCUGAACAUGAGAAAUGAAGUCGAACAGUGGCUGUAUAAGGGUAGCAAAGGGUUGGGUUCAAG